ACUGUAUCCACAGAGCGGUGCUCUUGCCUUGAAAGGAAGGAUUUGCCCCGGUUUGGAAGGAAGUGGAAUAAAUAGAACUGGAAAUGGCAAGGUCACCUUUAAUAUCAUAUGAACUGCCUAUUAACAAGCUUCACAAUUGCUUUGUUUCUUCCUCCUCCCGUGCUAUAAACAGGCUCAGGCAGAGCAAACUCUUGGAGCACACACAGUGUGGGGAGGAAGCUCUCAGAGCAGCAAGGAAGGAGAGGCUGCAGGCUCAACAGGGCCCAUCAAGCAUACCAGGGUUACAAUUGUGUUAUGGUGUGGUGGCCAGGAGGGAAAAAUGCUUGUUUUUCAAGGAAGGAACUAUAUUGUCCCAAAUUCCUGUGUAUAAAAUAUAGGACAAACAAGUUACAGUGGGAAUAUUUAAUUGGAGCAUGUGGAAUAGAUGGAAUAAUUGCCUUUCACUUGGCUUUUCCCUGCUCUAAGUAGUAUCACAUGGUGGUUACAUAAAGACAAAAAAGUUAUUUUAAGAACCCUUCUCCUUAGGACCCUGUUUAGUUGGUAUUCCAAACACACAGAGCAAGCUCUUCACUGGCAUUCUGCUUGACAGAUUUUUCUUUCUUUCCAGGCUCCUUCAGGCACAUUCUGUUGGGCUUCCCUCUACCUCCCCACUCUGCUGCUUCCCCGCUCUUUUUGAAUUUCUCCCUGUUGAGGAGAGGGAAGACCAGCUAGGAGCUCUGUUUCUGGCAGGAAUCUGACACCACUUACUCCUUGGGUAGAAACUCCCCCAAGUCUGAACUAUGUGAUUGCCUGAGCCCUGCUUCUUGUUCAUUAAGACUGCUCCUCUGAAACGGAAUUGAUGAAUUUUUAGUGGCUAUUAGAAGCAUUUGGGAUCCAUAGGCAUCAGGGUUUGAUGCAUGGCCCUCAUCUCUGUGGGCUCCUGUGCAAUGAUUCUCAUCUGUCUUAGUUAGAAAGUGAAUUAAUCUUGACCUUGGCCUCAGGGGUGUGGUUCUCUGCCCUCUUACACAUCUUCAAUUCGCUUCUUUAUCAGAAGCACUUGUUUUAGGCCCAGGCUCCCCCAAUUUUAAUGACAUUUAGACAUUUGUCUUUAAGUUACAUUGCUUUGAUUUUAAUCAAAAUCUAUAUUUCUAGUAUUAUAUGUUUCCAGAAAGUUCUCAUUCUGGAUUGUAAUUUAAUUACAUGGAUCAUUAAAGCUUUGAAGGAUGCUAAUGGGCAGAAAAAAGAGACUUAACAAAACGAAAGUUAUUAUUAGGAAUUACAAAUCACUUAACAUUUCAACAUCACUCGUCGGAUGUGGGCAUUUUGUUGAAAGAGACCUUGUUUUGAACAGUGACAGUGCAGAAGACCUAUGGAAGAAACAAGCUUCCAACUUGAUUUCUAUUGUUAUGCAUGCAUAGCAAAUUAUUAAUUCUAUUCUAAUAGGGUAAUAGAUUUAGAAAUACUAUUAGCAGAAAACUUGAUGUAUUAGGCAAUACUACAUACCACAUUAGUCUAACCGCUCAACUGUAAUUUUUCAUCCAUACUUUCUUGGGAUGUAAAUAAAAUUGAUAUUAUACAAUGAAAAUAAAAUUGCCCACUAGUCUUGCUUAUUCUCUUGG
rnacentral:lncRNA from 1 species